rnacentral:rRNA from 1 species
CGGGGUGAGUAAUGUCUGGGAAGCUGCCUGAUGGAGGGGGAUAACUACUGGAAACGGUAGCUAAUACCGCAUAACGUCGCAAGACCAAAGAGGGGGACCUUCGGGCCUCUUGCCAUCGGAUGUGCCCAGAUGGGAUUAGCUAGUAGGUGGGGUAACGGCUCACCUAGGCGACGAUCCCUAGCUGGUCUGAGAGGAUGACCAGCCACACUGGAACUGAGACACGGUCCAG